GGUAUAAUGGCCGAUUACAAGCAAUAAAUUGUAAAUUUAUUUAUGAACUAUAGUUCUUAUACCA
rnacentral:tRNA from 1 species